CUGCGGCGCCUGGUUUGAAGCCAGCGUCGCAGUCUAGCCAGGGCUGCAGCUCACAAAGCAGUGGCCCUUACUUUGAAAAAUAUGACGACCAGCAGGGGCAUCCGGGCUGGUGCCCGGACUAUCUGCGGGAUCCGUGGUGGCUUUACCGAAGUCGCUGCUUCAAGACUUCGGAAGCCUGAACGGUUUCUUCGCCGGUGGUGUCCCCUUACCGAGGGUGACCA
rfam:Pseudomonadales bacterium RIFCSPLOWO2_02_FTLL_63_210 rifcsplowo2_02_scaffold_207168, whole genome shotgun sequence.